rnacentral:rRNA from 1 species
GACGAACGCUGGCGGCGUGCCUAAUACAUGCAAGUUGAGCGCUGAAGGUUGGUACUUGUACCAACUGGAUGAGCAGCGAACGGGUGAGUAACGCGUGGGGAAUCUGCCUUUGAGCGGGGGACAACAUUUGGAAACGAAUGCUAAUACCGCAUAAAAACUUUAAACACAAGUUUUAAGUUUGAAAGAUGCAAUUGCAUCACUCAAAGAUGAUCCCGCGUUGUAUUAGCUAGUUGGUGAGGUAAAGGCUCACCAAGGCGAUGAUACAUAGCCGACCUGAGAGGGUGAUCGGCCACAUUGGGACGGAGACACGGCCCAAACUCCUACGGGAGGCAGCAGUAGGGAAUCUUCGGCAAUGGACGAAAGUCUGACCGAGCAACGCCACGUGAGUGAAGAAGGUUGUCGGAUCGUAAAACUCUGUUGGUAGAGAAGAACGUUGGUGAGAGUGGAAAGCUCAUCAAGUGACGGUAACUACCCAGAAAGGGACGGCUAACUACGUG